rnacentral:rRNA from 1 species
ACGAACGCUGGCGGCGUGCUUAACCCAUGCAAGUCGAACGGUGAAGCGCCUUCCUUUUUGGUGGGUGUGGAUGAGUGGCGAACGGGUGAGUAACACGUGAGUAACCUGCCCCCUUCUUCUGGAUAACCGCAUGAAAGUGUGGCUAAUACGGGAUAUUCUGGGUCUGUCGCAUGAUGGGUCUGGGAAAGAUAUUGUUUCGGUGGGGGAUGGGCUCGCGGCCUAUCAGCUUGUUGGUGGGGUGAUGGCCUACCAAGGCGGUGACGGGUAGCCGGCCUGAGAGGGGGGGCGGCACCGGGGGGAAGGCAACCCGCACACGCCUCCGGGGGGGGGCAGUGGGGGGGAUUAUAGAAGAGGGGGAGGGGUGUUGCAGCCGCGCCGCGGGGGGGGGGAUGGGGGCCUGGGGGUGGUGCACCUCUUGCGCGGGGGAAGGGGGCCUGCCUGUUUUGUGGGUGGGUUGACGGUAGCUGAAAAAGAAGCGCCGGCUAACUACGUG